GACCUUACAGUGAAAUGCUGAAUACAACAGGUGUAGUAGACCUAACAGUGAAAUGCUGAAUACAACAGGUGUAGUAGACCUCACAGUGAAAUGCUGAAUACAACAGGUGUAGUAGACCUAACAGUGAAAUGCUGAAUACAACAGGUGUAGUAGACCUAACAGUGAAAUGCUGAAUACAACAGGUGUAGUAGACCUAACAGUGAAAUGCUGAAUACAACAGGUGUAGUAGACCUUACAGUGAAAUGCCGAAUACAACAGGUGUAGUAGACCUUACAGUGAAAUGCUGAAUACAACAGGUGUAGUAGACCUUACAGUGAAAUGCCGAAUACAACAGGUGUAGUAGACCUUACAGUGGAAUGCCGAAUACAACAGGUGUAGUAGACCUCACAGUGAAAUGCUGAAUACAACAGGCUCUAACCAAUAGUGCAACAAAGGUAUUAGAUGAACAAUAGGUAGGUAAAGAAAUAAAACACCAGUAAAAAGACAGACUAUAUACAGUAGUGAGGCUAUAAAAGUAGCAAGGCUAUAUACAGUAGAGAGGCUAUAUACAGUAGAGAGGCUAUAAAAGUAGCGAGGCUAUAUACAGACA